CACAGACUCUGGCCAGACAAUCACACACAGCUCUUCUAUCAGAAGACAGAAGUCAAACAUUUUGGGACUUAUGGCUCAAUUCAACACAAAACACAACUCUGUGUUGGAUGAUUCCUACAAACUAGCGAUCCAGAAAAAAAACGUGUCUGCUGGAUCAUCUGUUAAAGACCUAAUAGCUGCCUUAGAGGGGAGUCAAUCAGUUGCUCCCAAAACAACCAGAGGUUCUCACACACCUAGCCAUGUCUUUGAGAGAAGAUCUGCGGCUGUGCUCACACAAAAUGUGAAGCCAUCGUCCCUCACAGCACAAUCCUUUAAACCUGCUGAAACCCAGACAAACAGGGACUCCUCUGCAUCCUCUCAUCCAAAAAAUGUGUUGAUAAAAUCUGCACCAAAAGCAAAGACUAAUGAUUCCUGCAAAAACAGUGCCCCUCCUAUUUUAGUCAAGCCAGCAUGGGUUAAGCUCCAGAGCACCAUACUACCUCUGGCACAGCAAGACAGUGUUUCCAAAGUGGAAAGACUGAUUGAUGGCAGGGUGGAAAACAUCAUCAGUGGUAUACCCCCCAGACCUCCAGUAAAGCAGAAACCUAACAUCGGAAUAUUUGGAAUCCAAAAUCAAGACCAAAGGGAGAGCGUUGAGCUCUCUGUUCUGAAGAGGAUCCUUCCUGAUGUGCUCUCUCUCGGAAAACCUCCUCCAAAGCCCAGCAGGCCUCCGAGGGUUGAAAUUCAUCAAUUUAGAAGGAAUUUGCAUGAUGGGCCAAGGACGAAGAUGCCACUUCCUGUUACUCCUCCAUCUUCACGUUUGUGCCCAUCAGCCAAACAAGC